rnacentral:rRNA from 1 species
UAACACGUGGGAACGUGCCUUUAGGUUCGGAAUAACUCAGGGAAACUUGUGCUAAUACCGAAUGUGCCCUUCGGGGGAAAGAUUUAUCGCCUUUAGAGCGGCCCGCGUCUGAUUAGCUAGUUGGUGAGGUAAAGGCUCACCAAGGCGACGAUCAGUAGCUGGUCUGAGAGGAUGAUCAGCCACAUUGGGACUGAGACACGGCCCAAACUCCUACGGGAGGCAGCAGUGGGGAAUCUUGCGCAAUGGGCGAAAGCCUGACGCAGCCAUGCCGCGUGAAUGAUGAAGGUCUUAGGAUUGUAAAAUUCUUUCACCGGGGACGAUAAUGACGGUACCCGGAGAAGAAGCCCCGGCUAACUUCGUGCCAGCAGCCGCGGUAAUACGAAGGGGGCUAGCGUUGCUCGGAAUUACUGGGCGUAAAGGGAGCGUAGGCGGACAUUUAAGUCAGGGGUGAAAUCCCGGGGCUCAACCUCGGAAUUGCCUUUGAUACUGGGUGUCUUGAGUAUGAGAGAGGUGUGUGGAACUCCGAGUGUAGAGGUGAAAUUCGUAGAUAUUCGGAAGAACACCAGUGGCGAAGGCGACACACUGGCUCAUUACUGACGCUGAGGCUCGAAAGCGUGGGGAGCAAACAGGAUUAGAUACCCUGGUAGUCCACGCCGUAAACGAUGAUUGCUAGUUGUCGGGAUGCAUGCAUUUCGG